CUUCGUCUUAUCAGUUUGUGUCGAUGCACUUAAUCUUAACAAGUAGGUUGGCAAAAGCAAAACUCGUAAUACGUAAUGCUGAACGGCAACUACUCUUAUAAUUUCACACUUUGUCUUACAUUUUUUUUUUGGUUUAUUUUUUGUCAACAAUUUGUUUAUAGAGAAAAUUGGCCUCUAUAUCCAUAUAAAGAGACCAAAUUCAAUACUUACCACAUCUCAUAAACUAGAUUUUUUCGUUCCGUAAUUGCCCCUACUCCUCUAUGCGCAGAACUACAUGAAGAUGUGUCAGAACUCACUGCCACAUGCUGAAAGAACUCUCUCCAGACAAAAACAAUACGAUUACCAAAAGAUAUCUUUUGAUUUUUAAUUAUUUUUCAAUCUUCUACCUCUCUCCUCUCUUCUCCUUUACCCCAGCGCUUUGUUUCCUCUGGUGACACGUGGUUUGAUAUCGAUGAAUGAGAGAAGGAAAGGUGAUUCAGUUAAAAGCUUACAUCAGCUGUGAUUUUCUAUCGACCAUUUUCUUCGGUUGGGUUGUUUGUUUUGUGCUUCUGUUGUCGGAUCUGUUCUUUCGAUUAUUGAUAUAUGUUGUUUUAUACAUCAUUGUAUAUAUGUUUUCUAAUUGGUUUUUAAGUCUUUAUCGAGUAUUUCUAGUCAUUUUCGAGUCAUUACAGGUCUGGAGUUGCACUGGAUGGAAGAUGGACCUGUUGGAACAAAAGAGGUAGAAAUCAGUGCAGUUUGGUGAUUUUCACGUAGAACAGUCUGAUGACUGUUCCCGAUCAAGUGGAACAAGCAGACGGAGUGAUCCCGAGGUUAUUCCCGACGAAUAAAGAAAAUAGAACAUCUCGGGAUUUGCCCUAAUUACCUUGUUUUUCUCUCUGGCCGCCUGUGGCUUUGAUAUAACUUCUUUUUCUAUUUUUUCUACAUCAUUCUAUGUUACUUUUCAUAGAGAAACAGACUCUAGAGCUUUUUACUUUGGGAUUUGCUACUUUGUAAAGGGAGAAGGCUAUCUCUCUCCAUAGAGAAGAAUCCCUGAACCCUAUCUCUUGUUUCUGUUAUUUUUAUGCAGUAUUAUUCAGUAUUGAUGCU